UGAGGAAUAUUGGUCAAUGGGCGGGAGCCUGAACCAGCCAAGUCGCGUGAGGGAAGACGGUGCUAAGCAUUGUAAACCUCUUUUGUCGGGGAACAAAAAAUCCCACGUGUGGGAUAAUGAGUGUACCCGAAGAAAAAGCAUCGGCUAACUCCGUGCCAGCAGCCGCGGUAAUACGGAGGAUGCGAGCGUUAUCCGGAUUUAUUGGGUUUAAAGGGUGCGCAGGCGGUGCGUCAAGUCAGCGGUAAAAUGUCGGGGCUCAACCCCGGCCGGCCGUUGAAACUGACGUGCUGGAGUUGGAGAGAAGUACGCGGAAUUCGUGGUGUAGCGGUGAAAUGCUUAGAUAUCACGAAGAACUCCGAUUGCGAAGGCAGCGUACCGGCUCCAUACUGACGCUGAGGCACGAAAGCGUGGGGAUCGAACAGG
rnacentral:rRNA from 1 species